rnacentral:rRNA from 1 species
UACGUAGGGUGCAAGCGUUAUCCGGAAUUAUUGGGCGUAAAGAGCUCGUAGGCGGUUUGUCGCGUCUGCUGUGAAAACCCGAGGCUCAACCUCGGGCCUGCAGUGGGUACGGGCAGACUAGAGUGCGGUAGGGGAGAUUGGAAUUCCUGGUGUAGCGGUGGAAUGCGCAGAUAUCAGGAGGAACACCGAUGGCGAAGGCAGAUCUCUGGGCAUUAACUGACGCUGAGGAGCGAAAGCAUGGGGAGCGAACAGG